rnacentral:rRNA from 1 species
AGAGUUGAUCAUGGCUCAGGAUGAACGCUAGCUACAGGCUUAACACAUGCAAGUCGAGGGGUAGCAGGGUAGCAAUACCGCUGACGACCGGCGCACGGGUGAGUAACACGUAUCCAACCUUCCCAUAACUCAGGGAUAGCCUUUCGAAAGAAAGAUUAAUACCUGAUAGUACUUUUUCAAGGCAUCUUGAGAAGUUAAAGAUUUAUUGGUUAUGGAUGGGGAUGCGUUCCAUUAGAUAGUUGGUGAGGUAACGGCUCACCAAGUCUUCGAUGGAUAGGGGUUCUGAGAGGAAGGUCCCCCACAUUGGUACUGAGACACGGACCAAACUCCUACGGGAGGCAGCAGUGAGGAAUAUUGGUCAAUGGGCGAGAGCCUGAACCAGCCAAGUAGCGUGAAGGAAUGAAGGUCCUAUGGAUUGUAAACUUCUUUUAUAGUAGAAUAAAGUGAUCCACGUGUGGAUUUUUGUAUGUAUACUAUGAAUAAGGAUCGGCUAACUCCGUGCCAGCCGCGGC